UACGUAGGGUGCGAGCGUUAAUCGGAAUUACUGGGCGUAAAGCGUGCGCAGGCGGUUUUGCAAGACAGAUGUGAAAUCCCCGGGUUUAACCUGGGAACUGCAUUUGUGACUGCAAGGCUAGAGUACGGCAGAGGGGGGUAGAAUUCCACGUGUAGCAGUGAAAUGCGUAGAUAUGUGGAGGAAUACCGAUGGCGAGGGCAAUCCCCUGGGCCUGCACUGACGCUCAUGCACGAAAGCGUGGGGAGCAAACAGG
rnacentral:rRNA from 1 species